ACAGAUUUGCCUGCAAACAAUUUAUUAGGCUGUCUGCCAGUGGCGACUCAUAAGGGAAGCCAAGGUCAUGGUUAAUGAUUACAAUAAAUGGUGACGAGAAGAAUCGUCACAUAGGCUACAUUAGUAAAUUGCUGCAGUUAAAUAUUUUACUGAAAUGACGAUGGAUGAAUGU